UAGACCAAUGAUGUAGGUAAGGCAAGUCGGCAAAACUGAUUCGUAACCUUGGGAAAAGAAUUGACUCUGAGGGCUGAGGCCGUCGGGCUGGGUACACAGCAGGAACGGCCCCGCACCGGGACUGUGCGAGGCUCGCCGCCGUAAAAUGCGGCGCGGCCGAGCCCGGACCAGCGUCGAGAUCUUCCUGUGGAAAGCCACAGUUGUGCAUUUUCCGUGGCCUUGGCGUCUGAGGUUCUUGCUUCGGCCGGCAGAAAACAGCAAACUCAGAACUGGCACGGACCGGAGGAAUGUGACUGCCUAAUUAACACAAUGCAUUGCGAUGGCCGUUUAUCGGUGCUGACGCAAUGUGAUUUCUGCCCAGUGCUCCGAAUGUCAAAAUAAAGAAUUCAAACCGAAGGUAAGCGUCGGGAGUAACUAUGACCCUUCCGCGCUCUUCGUCUAAUGUGACGCGCCUGAAUGGAUUAACGACAUUUCCACUGUCCCUGUCUAUUAUCUAAUCAAAACCACAGCCAAGGGAACGGGCUUGG
rnacentral:rRNA from 1 species